rnacentral:rRNA from 1 species
UACGGAAGGCAGCAGUGGGGAAUAUUGCACAAUGGGCGCAAGCCUGAUGCAGCCAUGCCGCGUGUAUGAAGAAGGCCUUCGGGUUGUAAAGUACUUUCAGUCGUGAGGAAGGUGUUAAGGUUAAUAACCUUAGCAAUUGACGUUAGCGACAGAAGAAGCACCGGCUAACUCCGUGCCAGCAGCCGCGGUAAUACGGAGGGUGCGAGCGUUAAUCGGAAUUACUGGGCGUAAAGGGCACGCAGGCGGUUAAUUAAGUUGGAUGUGAAAUCCCCGGGCUUAACCUGGGAAUGGCAUUCAAGACUGGUUAGCUAGAGUCUUGUAGAGGGGGUAGAAUUCCAUGUGUAGCGGUGAAAUGCGUAGAGAUGUGGAGGAAUACCGGUGGCGAAGGCGGCCCCUGGGACAAAGACUGACGCUCAUGUGCGAAAAGCGUGGGGAGCAAAACAGGGAUUAGAUACC